UAAGUUAGGGCACAACACCUCGUAUUUCCGAGAAUAAGCAUUUCUUUUUAAAACUCGUAUUACGAUUUUUAAAACAAUAUUCCGUUAUUUAGAUUAAAUGAGAAAAAUUCAAAACCUAGUAAGUUAGGGCACGAUUUUCUCGAAAUUCCAAAUACGGAGUAUUGCUUUUUGAGAUAAAGUUAUUUUCUUAGAGACAAGGUUAGUACAACAUAAGUUUGUAAUAAAGAAAGCAUGAAUACAAAUCUCGA
rnacentral:lncRNA from 1 species